AGUGGAAUUGCUGGGUCAUAUGGUAAUUUUUUGUUUACCUUUUUGAAGAAUUGUUAAACUUUCUAAACUUCUUACACCAUGUUAUAUUCCCUCCAGAAGU
rnacentral:pre_miRNA from 1 species